ACUAAAUUGCAAUUUACGCAACAAACAUGUUGCCUCCUUAAAAUUUGUGUGGGAAUGAAAGCAGCACUGUCAAACCUUCAAAAUGAGAGUUCAUUGCUAGCAAUGGAUGACAUGAAAUAUAAAUAUAUCAGUUGGCAAACGUUAGCAAUCCAUUGGCAAUAUUGCUUGCGAUACAAAUUUUCGCAAUCUUAAAUUGCCUGCCGAGAUGCCCCGUAAGAAGUUUUCGCUCAAUUUUGUUUAGAUGAACUUUGUGACAGUAUACAGUGUUGACAAUUAGUUUACAAAUGGAAAGUACAAUAGAUGGCGGAAAUACAAAAGUUUUUGCUAAAGCAGUGCAAUCACUUUCAAAGUUCGGCGGAGACUUAUUUAUUGAAGCUGAUAUUGAUGGAAUGCAGCUCCGCACUCUAAAUCCAACUAAAUCUGCUGUUGGGACAUAUCGCUUUAGUAGAAGCUUCUUCGAUUUUUACGAGGUCGACCAAAAUGAAGAAAGUUUUUGUAAACUGGAUAUGAGGGCUUGUCUUACUGUAUUUCGAAAUACAAAACAGGUGGAACGAUGUGAUAUGGCACUCUUAUAUGACAGAACAAAGUUUCAAAUACAAUUAAAAUGCCAACAUGAAACAUUAAAGAAUACGUUUAUUUCAGUUGAUGAUGAAGAAAACAUUACCACAGAUAUGACACCAGAAAACAGUUGCAACACCGGAGGAAGAAAUUACUUUAGAAGCACAAGAGAAGAAAGUAAAUGUUAUGAACUAUGUUGAAGGAUCGAGAGUUAAUGAAAAAUUUAUGAGGUCUCAAUUGCAAUUGAAGUAAUUAUAUAAUAUUUAUUGUUCACAAAAAUAAUAUUACAAUAUAUUUUCAUUGCACAUAUAGCGCCGAUGAGUUUGAAACAUACAAAAUUGAAAAAGAAACGUCCAUAACAUUUUGUUUAAAAGAGUUAAGAGCGUUUCUUAUGUUUGCUGAGGCGUUAAAUGAAAGCUUGUGUUUGCAUUUCGAUGAGGCCGGAAGUCCAGUUUUCGUGGGUAUAUCCCAUAGAGAUGAAAUUAAUUGCAUACUUAUCAUGUCUACUUUAUCUCCAGAAGAGGUAAGUUUUUAUGACAAUUGUCAAGAAAGUGAAGUCCAAGAAUGCACAACCUCAAAAUCAAGUAAACGGAAAUUAAAAACCUCGAAGGUACCUAAUCAAUGCAAAAAUAUUAGGAGAGCUAUGGACCAGAAGUUCAUUGCUGAGGACACGACUCUUAGUAACAGUUCAUCUUUAUUUACAUUUGUAAACAGUAGUAGUAAACGGAAUUACACGUCGCUUGUUGCGGUCCCUCGUAAUCAUAAUACAUCUGUCUCGACUUCUAGCCUCAAUGAAAUUAGUCAUUUACUGCCAACAGUAUCUGGGGAAACAAAUAGAAUGCAGAUGUUGGAUAAGAAUGGUGAGCCUGUUGUCAGUAAAGUUAUAGAUAACUCAGAUAACGACGAUUUUAUUCCUGAAUCACCAAAGCGCCAAGGAAGAACUAACUUGCGAUCUAUAUUUUUCCGCUGUUUUCAAUCAACAUAUAUGCUAGAGGAAACUUCGAGUGGCCAAGUAUUUGCACUUGAUUCGGACACAGAAUAAUAUAAUAUAAAUAAAGCUCCAUGUGUAAAAUUUC